rnacentral:lncRNA from 1 species
GUCAGUACAAUCAACACUUGGUUUCACGUGAUUUACCCCUCACCACACAGAGAAAGCAGAGGAACCACAUUUCAAAUUAAAACUAAGUUCAUGGAUUAUGAAGUGGACCAAGAGAAACUAUUAUAAUGGAAGUCCAAGGAAAAAUAAUUCUAACAGGAAAGGAAGGAGCAAUGGUGUCCCAAGGUAGCAAAGUGCUUGUGGUGAGAGAAAGACCAAUGAAUGUGUCUUAGACAUUUCUUUUAAAAGUAACCUCUAGUGCCUUAGGGAAAAUACUUUUACUAAAGGGAGAAUUACAGAGAUUUUGAGAGUGAAUAAAAGAAGAAGAAAGAAAAGAGUGACAACUACAAGGAACAGGGUGAGGAAGAUGGGACUAUUAGAUAUUCCAAGUGCUAAUUAUAAAUUGAGGUUAAGAAGCCAGGGGAGUGAGAAGGGUUAAGGGAGGAAAUAGUGAUGAAACCAGGUUCAAAAGGAGCUAAGAAGAAUGGGAUUAAGAUACUAGGAAAGGAUUAGACAGGGGACAAGAUGCUUUCUCCAAGAUAGAAGGAAAAGAUAUAGAGUUGAAUGCAAAUUUACCUGUGCUGUGUCUAAUCCUAAUGGAUUCUGUCACUGAAGAAUUUAUUUGAAUGUGGUUGGGAUAUACAGAUCAUUUUUCUUUCUGCUUUGAGAGUCUGGGACAUCAUUUCCAUGAAUUUUCUUGAUCACAAACAAAGGUUGAUCUAUCCUUUCAGCUCUUCGUGUGUCACUCAUACAAUGGGCAAAUGUGUCCAGUCUUCUUAUUAUAGACUUUCCAAUGCACCUCUGAUUUGGAUGUGUCUUUUUCAACAUUGGGAAUUAGAAGGGGAAAUCCAAUCAUUGUUAACUAAUAACAUUUAAAUGCAAAAUGGGAAAAUGCUAUUAAAAGCUGUUAGUUUUGGGCAA